GAUGAACGCUGGCGGCGUGCCUAACACAUGCAAGUCGAACGAAGCAUUUGCGACAGAUUUUUUCGGAAUGAAGUUGCUUAUGACUGAUUGGCGGACGGGCGAGUAACGCGUGGGUAACCUGCCUUGUACUGGGGGAUAGCAGCUGGAAACGGCUGGUAAUACCGCAUAAGCGCACAACGUUGCAUGACAUGGUGUGAAAAACUCCGGUGGUAUAAGAUGGACCCGCGUCUGAUUAGCUAGUUGGUGAGAUAACAGCCCACCAAGGCGACGAUCAGUGGCCGGCCUGAGAGGGUGACCAGCCACAUUGGGACUGAGACACGGCCCAGACUCCUACGGGAGGCAGCAGUGGGGAAUAUUGCACAAUGGAGGAAACUCUGAUCCAGCGACGCCGCGUGAGUGAUGAAGUCAUUCGUGAUGUAAAGCUCUAUCAGCAGGGAUGAUAAUGACGGUACCUGGAGAAGAAGCUCCGGCUAAAUCCGUG
rnacentral:rRNA from 1 species